rnacentral:rRNA from 1 species
CGGUGGAGCAUGUGGUUUAAUCGAAGCAACGCGAAGAACCUUACCAGGUCUUGACAUCCCGAUGCUAUUUCUAGAGAUAGAAAGUUACUUCGGUACAUCGGUGACAGGUGGUGCAUGGUUGUCGUCAGCUCGUGUCGUGAGAUGUUGGGUUAAGUCCCGCAACGAGCGCAACCCCUAUUGUUAGUUGCCAUCAUUCAGUUGGGCACUCUAGCGAGACUGCCGGUAAUAAACCGGAGGAAGGUGGGAUGACGUCAAAUCAUCAUGCCCCUUAUGACCUGGGCUACACACGUGCUACAAUGGUUGGUACAACGAGUUGCGAGUCGGUGACGGCGAGCUAAUCUCUUAAAGCCAAUCUCAGUUCGGAUUGUAGGCUGCAACUCGCCUACAUGAAGUCGGAAUCGCUAGUAAUCGCGGAUCAGCACGCCGCGGUGAAUACGUUCCCGGGCCUU